UGGGGAAUUUUGGACAAUGGGCGAAAGCCUGAUCCAGCAAUGCCGCGUGUGUGAAGAAGGCCUUCGGGUUGUAAAGCACUUUUGUCCGGAAAGAAAUCCUUGGCUCUAAUACAGUCGGGGGAUGACGGUACCGGAAGAAUAAGCACCGGCUAACUACGUGCCAGCAGCCGCGGUAAUACGUAGGGUGCAAGCGUUAAUCGGAAUUACUGGGCGUAAAGCGUGCGCAGGCGGUUUGCUAAGACCGAUGUGAAAUCCCCGGGCUCAACCUGGGAACUGCAUUGGUGACUGGCAGGCUAGAGUAUGGCAGAGGGGGGUAGAAUUCCACGUGUAGCAGUGAAAUGCGUAGAGAUGUGGAGGAAUACCGAUGGCGAAGGCAGCCCCCUGGGCCAAUACUGACGCUCAUGCACGAAAGCGUGGGGAGCAAACAGGAUUAGAUACCCUGGUAGUCCACGCCCUAAACGAUGUCAACUAGUUGUUGGGGG
rnacentral:rRNA from 1 species